UUCAAGAGCGCUUGAGUUGUGUACUAGUUUCGUUAAAGAAACACUGCUAAGUGCGAAAAUUUGGCAUAUCAUUUCACUAUUUUGUUUCUAAAUUUACCAAUCUCAUCCGAGCCUUAGGUUUCUCUUCAGCCUCCCCAAUCGCCUCCAUCUCUAUUCUCGGUCUCAACUCUGAACUUACCCCCCCUCUCUCUCUCUGCAACUCCCCAGUCGCCUCCAUCUCUAUUCUCUUUUCUCAACUCUGAACUUGCCCCCCUCUCUCUCUCUGCAACUGCUGACUAGAAAAUCUACAAGAAUCAAAAGUUCAAAACCCAUAUAUUUCAGUUUAUCUAUCUGUCUGCAAGAAUCAAAAGUUCAAAACCUAUAUUACUUGAUCAAAACCCAUAUCUGAUAUACCAGAUUGUUCAAAAAAUCAAAGCCCAUAUCUUUCAGUUUCCAUCGCCCGCUGUUCCAAUUCGGGUUCGCCGUUCAUAAGCUUCAGCAGCUGUCUCUCAACAGCCGCUGUGUGUUUUUGUGUAUUGAUCUGUUGAUUAAUCGAUUCCUGUUUUUUUUUUUUUUUUUUUUUUUUUUGAUGAAUACAUGACCCAUCUAUUCGAUUUUGGUGUUAAAGUUGGGCAGAGGAGUUCAAUUUUUGAUGAAGAUGCCUACUAACAGGUUAGGGAUUUCAAUUUUUGAAGAGGAUGCCUACUAGGAAAGGGUUUCAAAGAAUUGGAUUUUGGAGGAAAGUCGGAGGAAGGAGAGAAGGAUGUGGUGGAAGUGAUGAUGGCAGGCAGCAGGCCGAGUUAGGGUUUGUGAAUGGGAAGGACAUGAGGUUCUUGAUUCAUCUUUUCAUUCUCUGACAUACAAUGUUGUUUUGAUUCUGAUUAAUUUUUUUUUUCUUCAUUUUUGGGGCUUUGAUUGCAGUCAUCGACUGUUGUUGAAAUUCCUAGACCAACAUUGUAUAUCAGAGAAUGAAACGAUCAACAAGUUUAACGCUCAUGAAGAAACUGAAGAACAGACUGUGUCAGCUUUUGACUUCUUGUAUCUUCCAAUGGAUUUCAAGUAUGUUCAUACUAUAUACAUGUGUGUGUGUUAUUAUAAGUAUGUACAUUCAAGUUAUUGUUUACUUGAUUGAUAUUGUUUCAUUGAAAGUGAUGGUUAUGUUCAUUUCCAUUGUUAAGAAAAGUUAUUUUUCCCACCAAGGCUAUAGCUUUUUGGUGGGCGAAGUGGUGGGUCACGUGGGUGUGGGUGUGUGAGUGUGUUUAUAUACAUGUAUGUAUAUAUGUAUCAUUUUCUGUGCGUAUCACCAUUCGUCCCAGCCCUACAUGCCUCAACAAGCCUAGGGUGCGCGCUCUCUCUCUCAACACAACACUAACAUCACCUAACUGAUAAGUGAAACAGAAUCGCAAAUCAGGUAAGAUUUUCUGUCUUCUGAAUUUUUGGUCUCGUUCCAAUCAAUAUUUAUAUGCAAAAGUUGGUCUAGAAUUGGUUUGUUAUCAACCCGAGAAUUUCCUAUUUGUUAUAUUAUUGCAAAUUUCGUCACGGAGAAAAUUAACAUACAAAUUUUUUUUGUUUGAUGGACUUGUUUUUAAGAUUCUUAUGGAAUUGCAGAGAGAGAGGAAAGAGAUUCAUUUGGUCUGGGAUGUUUGUGGGUUGCUGCAUUAGAGUCUAGGUUUAUGUAUAUUGUUUUUUAAGGUACAUGGUGAUGCUGGAACAUGCAAGUACAAUUUGAUACAUCCCUCUUUGAUAUAUAUAUAUAUAUAUAUUAGGGGUUUUGGGUUUAUAAUUCUAUCCAUUAAUCCUUUGAUUUAAUUGAUUCUUUUUUCGGAAUUUCUGUCUGUUUAUCCAUCAAUUAAUGUGUUUGCUUUUUUGGAUAUAUGUGUGUGGGUGGGUGUGUGUGAUUCAACCCUUUUUCUCAGUUAAGUUGAUCUUGCAAUGACAAGGUUAAUUUCUGGAUUAAUUUUUAUGUGCUCUAUCUUGAUUUGAUAUUUAAUUACUUUUGCUUUCAUUUUGUUGCAACUGUGCUAUUGUGUAUACAUAGAGACAUCCAUAUUUCAUAUUUAAUUAAUUGUGUUUUAUUUUUUGAUUUCUUUUCCCAUCUGUUAAAAGGGAUAUAUUUAUGUUGAAUGGAUGAAUGUUUUUAGUGAGUGAUUAAAGCCUUCUUCUCAGUCUAAACUGAUCUUGCAAUGAAAAUGUCAAUUUGUGGUUAAAUUUUGAUGUGUUCUAUAUUGAUUUCAUAUUUAAUUACUUUUGCUUUUAUUUUGUUGUAACUGUGUUAUUGUAUAUACAUUCAAAUAUACGUAUUUCAUAUUUAAGUACUUUUGGUUUAAUUUUGUCACAAUUUUGCUAUUGUAUAUACAUUCAAACAUACAUAUUUCAUAUUUAAAUAAAUAAAUAAAGAAGAUUUUGUGCUCCGUCUCUUAAAAGAAUAACUUGCAUUAUUAUUAUUUGGAUUAAAUUUUUACCCAUUAAUUGUUGCUGCUUAUUGAACAUAUAAAAAAUUUAAAUUUUAACUGAUUAAUUGUGUGUGUUAUUGUAUAUUUCUUCCUUUGUGCCUUUCGACGAAUAUAUAUAUAUAUAUAUAUAUAUAUAUAUCUUCCUACGUUCUUUACAUAUUCAGCCAGUAUUUUGCUCAAAUCCAACUUGAAGCGAAGUUGGAUUUCUAUCAGGGUCCAUAUGCUUGGAGUUCCACUGCAAUUGCUAUUAGUAGCUUGUGUAUGAACUUUUAGUAGCUUAUGUUAAUUUGCCUAAAAUAGAACUUCUGGUUUAAUUUCAGGGAAGAUCUCUGAUUUCAAUUCUUGAUGGAGGAGAAGGCUACUGCAAUUCAACAAAGUAACAGGCUUCGUCAGGAACUGGAACUCUUGAGGCAUGACAGCAACAAAAUUUCAGGAAGAAGAUGCUGCAUGAUAAUUAUUGUUGUACAUUGAAAAAGUCAUGUCUAGAAAAAGGCAGUGGCCGAAUGCCCGGUGUCAACAGUUCGAGAUGAAUGACUGUCAUUGUGUAGGGACUGGGUAAGAUAAGCCUUUCACCUCCUCCAGUGCCGGUGUUCAAAGAAUUCUACCAUUGUUACCAUUAUUGAAGAGAGGUUAUACCACAUUGGCCUAGUUUAUUUUGUGAUUGUGAAACAAAUCCUUGUGAAAUGCUUGUACAUUACUAGAAUUAAAUUAUGAGACACUAUUAAUUUCUUUUUCAAAA